rnacentral:tRNA from 1 species
GGGCCCUUAGCUCAGGGGUUAGAGCAGCGGACUCAUAAUCCGUCGGUCCCUGGUUCGAAUCCAGGAGGGCCCA